CCGUACUGCGAGGGGAGGCGGAGAGAUGGGGCAAUUGACUAUUGCUAACAAGUUAGCCUUGAUCGAGGAGUAAUCAAUUAUCUGCAACGGCACUUCUCUAUUUCUCUCUCCUUUCUCCCUUUCUCCUCUCUUCUUUCUCUCUGUUCUCUCUCCUCCUGUUCUCUCUCUCCCUCUCUCUCUCUCUCUUCUCUUCUCUGCUCCCCCCGUCUCUCUCCUUCUCUCCCUCUCUCUCGCCCUCUCUUUCACUCUCUGUCUGUCCAAUGCAGGCGGCUCUAAGUUGGGAAGCUCAUUAAUUAGCGGGCCGGGGGUAGGAGGAGCCGGCUGGAAUUAGCCUGCCUAAUGCGCCUGUCAGUCCGGGCGCUGCGCCGCGCUCGGCCCGAGCUGUUUGUAAAUUACAUUAGCUGCGCCUUUAUUGCACCCGAACCUCGGGCGACUCAAAAGCCGCCGCCCCCACCCCAAACUGCGAGCCUCGCUCCCGGCACACCCGCCUCCCGCCGGCCUGGCUGCGCUGGUAGCGCUGGCCCGGAGGUCUCAGGCUCUCCGACCCGGGAUUUGGCGCCCGAGAAGGGCGGCGUGAGCCCAGCCGGAGAGGGACGCGGCCGCCGCGCGGGCCAGGAUUGAGCCCCCAUCAUGUUUUGGGCCCAGAAGCAGAGAGGAAGAACAGACAGAAGAAGGAGGGUGAUGGGCAGGCAGGAGUGGUAGGAGACAGACACCUUCCCCCCAGUAGCCCAGGGGACUGGGAAGAGGCGAAAGGAUAACUGGGAGGAGUCUGUUUCUGUCCCAAUGGAGGUGGCAUUUCAGUCUAGCCUUAAAAAACCGGGAGGCUUUGGGUAGGUGCGGAAACCAGGACCACUUUCCAGGCAAGAGUAACAGCCAAGCUGGAGGCCAGAAGUGGCAGUCCAGAAGGGGAGCCAGAGUGCCCCUAUUAUUUCCUCCCUCUGUGGCCUGAGCAGCAAGCUGCUAGGGUAGGGGUGAAGUCCUUGCUCCCUUGUGCACCCCCAUUAGGUCUGCAGCCUGGGGCAGGGGCUCCCGGGCUCCUGGGAUGGCGGUUGGAGGCUGCAAGGGGGUGGGGGCAGUUGGAGAGAGGCUGAAAGCCCUACCCUUGCUGCUACCGGACCUACCCUGGGGCUUCCAUUCUCCUCGCUAGCCCCAGAAGCUCCGACAGUUGAUCCUCUCUCUUACUAACCUAGGUGGCCCAGGAACUCUUGGGUCUGAGCAAAGCGGCUAGUGCUGGUCAGUGCCGACCUUUCCACGAAAGUCUCACUGCCUGCGGCCCACCAGGCUGCAGGCCAGCAGCGGGGCCUGGGCGAGGGCAAGGGGGCUAGGGGAAGAAAGGGAAGCCACGAAAGACAGGGAGGCCCAGGAGUGGGCCGCGGCUGCUAGGCGGCCCAGGAAAGGCCUGAGUCAGGCUUCUCGUAAUAAACUGAACGUGAAUAAUUCAGCAGCCUUGCGGGGGCUCAUUGCAUUAGUGCCGCUGCCAGCUCAGUCCUUCGCCUUCCCGCGGGGGAGGGGUGGGGGAGGUCACUAACGCGCUGGACGCGGGGAGCCAGGUAAAGACCCCCUGCCUGCUCGCAUCCUGGAUUCGGCCGGCGGGGGCCAAGUCCCAGAAGACUCUUGGGUCCCCGAUCUCCUCCUUCCGCCGAAGGUCAGAGGGCCGCCUGCCGGGCAGCGCUGUUCCAGCUAAGCCGCUCUCAAGACCCUGGGCAAGAGAACCCCCGCGGCAGAACCAAGGCCAGAACGGGGGGCGUGGGGGCAGCCUACGGAGAGCCGAGCGGCUGCGGUGCCCAGCGGCACGGAAGCACGUGGGCGGCCUGGCUCGGAGCUGGCGGAGAAGGCUGGCUCGGUCCCCCACAAGCUCUCUGCAGGAGCCACCCUACCCCUCCGUGCUGAACCUCGGACCUAGAGCCGCACACUGGCCCCGCCGGCCCGCCUGGAGCCCGGGGCAGCGCGGGCAAGGCCCCCAGCCUGGUCUUCCCUGGUGUUGAGGCAGCCAGACUAGAAGCCCUGGUGGGGGCGGAAGAAGGAAUUCGGUUUCCCCCUGGCCCACCCACCGAUCUUCUUCCGCCGCCGGCCGCAGAGGCUGCCUCCUCCUCUUCCCUGGUCGCUAGCCUUCAGCUGAAACGCUGGGUUCACGGCCAAAUUCCCGAAGCCUUCUGCAGCAGGACCCCCCUGAGUGUCUCACCUGCAGAGGCGGGUGAGAGGGGCUGAUGGCCCCGCGCUUCAGACAAUUCCACUCCAGGCCCGCUGUGUGAUCUUGGAAGGUUUCACAGGAACGCUCUCUUUUGGGAUAGAAGGGGAAACCGUGCUUGAAUGCUGAAGCUUGGAAAACAUGACUUCAGAGUUUGAACAGACUCUGGUUGAACCCGUGACCUCGGAGGCCCUUCCAAGGCUGCAGAAAAAUAGGGAAACUGAGGAGAAAAUUCUCUCUAAAAGGAGCCAGAAAGGGGGAGAGGAAGAGAAGAGAAAAUCUGAACGAGAACCCUAUGCUUCUUGUCAUUAUUUCUAAGAAGAUGGGGAACAAGGCAUUAACUCAACAAGGUUAUGGGGGGCCACCGUGUCCCCCAAGCACUGUGUGUGAUUAACAGUGAACCACACGGACACUAUUCCGGCUCAUGAUCUAAUGGACUCCACAGAAGACGGGCCUUCCGGACACAACUGAUAACUCCGGGAAAUGGUCCCUACCAUUGUCCCCACUUAACCGGAAGGAGCCAAGGCACUGAAAGGACCCAGGUCAUACAGCUGGACGGGGUGGAAUGGGGAGACACCUUCCAGAGAAGUCUUCUGCAAAGCGUGGAUGAUCCAUUGCAAAUGCUUAGAUAAGGGCCACCGCCAAUAUCUCUAUGCCCUGGCCAUCUUUGGCCUGGAGUCUCAGAGGCAAGUUGGGGGAAGCUGGCCACAGCCGGGAGGCAGAGUAGCCAGCUCCCAGUCCACCUCUUUGGGAUCCCAGGGCUGGAAAGAGGCAGAAAGUCUGUCAGGGUGGAGAGAAAAUCUCUCUUCUCUUACAUCCAAACCUCUGGAGAUAACCCCAGAUCUCAGCCCCUCCUGUGAAGAGCAGAGCCUUCCCCAGAGUGACCCAGCUUUGAAGCCGCCAGUGGUUAGUGGUGCAUCAUUGGAUGGUGUUUUGGGGAUUCCCCCCAUCCCGGCCAUCUUCAACCAUUUCUUUCAGCCUGUCCUCAUGCCUUGCCCUCCUUUCUCCCAGGCCUCCUUCCCAGAAGCUGACCUGGAGCUGGAUUUCCAAAUAAACAGUAACUAAUUGGAUUAGAAGCUGA